UGAGGAAUAUUGGACAAUGGGGGAAACCCUGAUCCAGCCAUGCCGCGUGAAUGAUGAAGGCCUUAGGGUUGUAAAGUUCUUUCGCUGAUGAAGAUAAUGACGGUAAUCAGUAAAGAAGCCCCGGCUAACUUCGUGCCAGCAGCCGCGGUAAUACGAAGGGGGCUAGCGUUGUUCGGAAUCACUGGGCGUAAAGCGCGCGUAGGCGGAUAUGUAAGUCAGAGGUGAAAGCCCAGGGCCCAACCCUGGAAUUGCCUUUGAAACUACAUAUCUAGAGACUCGGAGGGGAUAGUGGAAUUCCUAAUGUAGGGGUGAAAUCCGUAGAGAUUAGGAGGAACACCAGUGGCGAAGGCGGCUAUCUGGACGAGUACUGACGCUGAGGUGCGAAAGCGUGGGGAGCAAACAGG
rnacentral:rRNA from 1 species